rnacentral:rRNA from 1 species
UACGUAGGGGGCAAGCGUUGUCCGGAAUCAUUGGGCGUAAAGCGCGUGUAGGCGGCUCGGGUAGUCUGGUGUGAAAUCUUUCGGCUCAACCGGAAGCGGUCACUGGAUACUCUCGGGCUUGAGUCCGGAAGAGGAGAGUGGAAUUCCUGGUGUAGCGGUGGAAUGCGCAGAUAUCAGGAGGAACACCAAUGGCGAAGGCAGCUCUCUGGUACGUGACUGACGCUGAGACGCGAAAAGCGUGGGGGAGCGAACAGG